CAGUAGCCGCGGUAAAACGUAGGUGGCAAGCGUUGUCCGGAAUUAUUGGGCGUAAAGGGCUCGCAGGCGGUUUCUUAAGUCUGAUGUGAAAGCCCCCGGCUCAACCGGGGAGGGUCAUUGGAAACUGGGAAACUUGAGUGCAGAAGAGGAGAGUGGAAUUCCACGUGUAGCGGUGAAAUGCGUAGAGAUGUGGAGGAACACCAGUGGCGAAGGCGACUCUCUGGUCUGUAACUGACGCUGAGGAGCGAAAGCGUGGGGAGCGAACAGGAUUAGAUACCCGAGUAGUCCCUGUCUCUUAUAC
rnacentral:rRNA from 1 species